rnacentral:ncRNA from 2 species
UACGUAGGGGGCAAGCGUUAUCCGGAUUUACUGGGUGUAAAGGGAGCGUAGACGGUCUGGCAAGUCUGAAGUGAAAGCCCGGGGCUCAACCCCGGGACUGCUUUGGAAACUGUCAGACUAGAGUGCAGGAGAGGUAAGCGGAAUUCCUAGUGUAGCGGUGAAAUGCGUAGAUAUUAGGAGGAACACCAGUGGCGAAGGCGGCUUACUGGACUGUAACUGACGUUGAGGCUCGAAAGCGUGGGGAGCAAACAGG